AUUGAACGCUGGCGGCAGGCCUAACACAUGCAAGUCGAACGAGCGGCACACGGGAGAGUAAUGUAUGGAGAUCUGCGUGAUGGCGGGGGAUCAAUACUGGAAAGGGUAGAUAAUACCGCAUACCAUCAGAUGAACCGAUAUGGGAUUGGCUAGUAGGUGAGGUAACGGCUGACCUAGGCGACGAUCCCUAGCUGGUCUGAGAGGAUGAUCAGCCACACUGGGACUGAGACACGGCCCAGACUCCUACGGGAGGCAGCAGUGGGGAAUAUUGCACAAUGGGCGCAAGCCUGAUGCAGCCAUGCCGCGUGUAUGAAGAAGGCCUUCGGGUUGUAAAGUACUUUCAGUCGGGAGGCGUUACCGACAGAAGAAGCACCGGCUAACUCCGUGCCAGCAGCCGCGGUAAUUC
rnacentral:rRNA from 1 species